UACGUAGGGUGCAAGCGUUAAUCGGAAUUACUGGGCGUAAAGCGUGCGCAGGCGGUUGUGCAAGACAGGUGUGAAAUCCCCCGGGCUUAACCUGGGAACUGCACUUGUGACUGCACGGCUGGAGUACGGCAGAGGGGGAUGGAAUUCCGCGUGUAGCAGUGAAAUGCGUAGAUAUGCGGAGGAACACCGAUGGCGAAGGCAGUCCCCUGGGCCUGUGACUGACGCUCAUGCA
rnacentral:rRNA from 1 species